rnacentral:rRNA from 1 species
AGAACGAACGCUGGCGGCGCGCCUAAUACAUGCAAGUCGAGCGAGAAGACGUAGCAAUACGUUUGUAAAGCGGCGAACGGGUGAGGAAUACAUGGGUAACCUACCCUCGAGUGGGGAAUAACUAGCCGAAAGGUUAGCUAAUACCGCGUACGCUCCUUGGACUUCGGUUCAGGGAGGAAAGCGAUACCGUGGGUAUCGCGCUCUUGGAUGGGCUCAUGUCCUAUCAGCUUGUUGGUGAGGUAACGCUCACCAAGGCUUCGACGGGUAGCUGGUCUGAGAGGGACAUCAG